AGUGUCGGUAGCUGAAAUUGACGCUCACAAGAACAAGACUUUGCCUUAAAAUAAAGAAUCAAACGCUUCCUGGAUUGGGUUCUCAGAAAAUUAGGAUCUGCUGCUUCAGUGCUUCACUGUUUUUUUUGUCUUGAGGAGCACUUGGUGCAACUUUUCUUGUUCUACACAAGAUUGAAAACAAGAGGUCCUCUGUUUCUCAUCAAUGUCUUUUGAGGGCUGCGAAUAUAAAGAAAGCUCGGGGAUCUUAUUUUUCGGAGGAGGUAACUAAUAAGGCUUUGUGUUCCAUUCCUUGGUCUUCCAUUUUCGGGGAUCUUAUCAAUAAAAUAAAUAGAUCCUCCAUUUCUCCACUACCAAUUGUUUACUCUUCCACACUGUAAGUAACUUGUUUUUACUUUUUUAAUUGUGACAAUGUUAAAAUUUUUUUAAGCAUUAGCUUCAAGGGAAGUGUUUGAAUUUAUACAAAAUAUCUCAGAAUAUAUUAAAUGUGUCUUAAAAUAUUUUAGAAUAUCUCUAAAUAUUAUGUAAUCAAAUAGACAUCAUACUAAGGAAGUAAUCUUGAGACUUGUUUCAUAAUUUUAUUAUGUUUCCUUAUUUAGUCAUUAUAAGCAAUUUUAUUUUAUUAGCAUGUGUUGUGUGCUUGGGCUUGUUCUAGCAGUGCUUGGGCUUGUCUCUUGACUGUUUUUACAUAUAUUGAAAUUAUUACUUAGACAUGAUAGUUCAAAUGGCAAAAGGAAGAUAGAAGAGAAGAACCUGGGGUUUUUGGUGUGUAUUGGGAAGGGCAAGGACUCAGAAAGCAUUAAUCUGGUUCACACGCUACUGCACCUGAAGUUAAUAUUUCUUAUUCAUUCUUUUGUUAUUAUUAUUAUUAUUAUUAUUAUUAUACUGUAUUAAACUUUCCAUAUGUUAUUUUAUAUUGAUUAUUGUAUGUGAAUUUUUGGUGGGUUGAUGAUUUAUUUCAGUAUUGGAAGCUAAUGGUCCGAAAAAUCCAAGGAAUUUGUUUCAGGAAUACGAGUGAAUAGAGCCAAGUCAAGAACGUGUUGUACCAGAACAUAACGAGUAUAUAAUUUAAUUCUACCUCUUCAAUUCAAUUGGGUAUGUCUAAUUUUCAGGUGGCUAUGGAAUUUUAGGCAAGAUGGGCUCAUAGAGCUCUUUGGCAUGCUUCCUUGUGGCACAUGCAUGAGGUACCACUUGAUUUCCCAAUGCAUUUGAAGAGCUUCGCCAGGAAUUAGCCAAGGUUUAUAGUCUCCAAGUUUGGCUGCCAAGUGCAAUGCACUGUUUCCCUUGUUAUCCACUUUUCCAAAUAUAUUACUUUUCUUUAGAUUUUUCUUUUUGAGCAAGAAAAUAUAUAAGUAAGUUUGUCUGUUCUCUACUGCCAAUAGCACUAUAUUUUUUUUCUUGGCAUCCAUAUCAUGAACAACGAAUGGAAACGAGUCAAUGAUUUUCUCU